AUUUCCGGUGCUCUCUUUCGCUGGGUCGCUUGGGUCGGCUUCGGUCGCCGUCGCUCCGUCUCUCCCGCCCCCGCCAACCGCCGCUCGGGCCUUUGCCGCUGCCGCGUCGCUUCCUCGAUCCUCCGAUCGCACAUCAUCCCUAAUGCAGCGCCGGGACGACCCCGCCGCGCGCAUGAGCCGGUCCUCGGGCCGCAGCGGCACCAUGGACCCCGCCGGCGCCCACCCCUCAGUGCGUCAGACGCCGUCUCGGCAGCCGCCGCUGCCUCACCGGUCCCGGGGCGGCGGCGGAGGGCCCCGGGGGGGCGCCCGGGCCUCGCCCGCGACGCAGCCGCCACCGCUGCUGCCGCCCUCGGCCACGGGUCCCGACGCGACAGUGGGCGGUCCGGCGCCGACCCCGCUGCUGCCCCCCUCAGCCACGGCCUCCGUUAAGAUGGAGCCGGAGAACAAGUACCUGCCCGAGCUCAUGGCCGAGAAGGAUUCCCUCGACCCGUCCUUCACGCACGCCAUGCAGUUGCUGACGGCAGAAAUUGAGAAGAUUCAGAAAGGGGACUCAAAAAAGGAUGAUGAAGAGAAUUACUUGGAUUUAUUUUCUCACAAGAACAUGAAACUGAAGGAGCGGGUACUGAUACCUGUCAAACAGUAUCCCAAGUUUAAUUUUGUGGGAAAGAUCCUUGGGCCACAAGGAAAUACAAUCAAAAGACUGCAAGAGGAGACUGGUGCCAAGAUCUCUGUCUUGGGAAAGGGCUCAAUGAGAGACAAAGCCAAGGAGGAAGAACUGCGUAAAGGUGGAGACCCCAAAUAUGCUCAUUUGAAUAUGGAUCUGCAUGUCUUCAUUGAAGUCUUUGGACCCCCAUGUGAGGCUUACGCUCUUAUGGCCCACGCUAUGGAGGAAGUCAAGAAGUUUCUAGUUCCAGAUAUGAUGGAUGAUAUCUGCCAGGAGCAGUUUCUAGAGCUGUCCUACUUGAAUGGAGUACCAGAGCCCUCUCGUGGACGUGGGGUGCCAGUGAGAGGCCGGGGAGCUGCGCCUCCUCCUCCACCUGUUCCUAGGGGGCGUGGUGUUGGACCACCUCGGGGGGCUUUAGUGCGUGGUACUCCAGUGAGAGGAGCCAUCACCAGAGGUGCCACUGUGACUCGAGGAGUGCCACCCCCACCUGCUGUGAGGGGUGCGCCAACGCCAAGAGCCCGGACAGCAGGCAUCCAGAGAAUACCUUUGCCUCCACCCCCUGCACCUGAAACAUACGAAGAAUAUGGAUAUGAUGAUACUUACGCAGAACAGAGUUAUGAAGGCUACGAAGGCUAUUACAGCCAGAGUCAAGGGGACUCAGAAUAUUAUGACUAUGGACAUGGGGAGGUUCAAGAUUCUUACGAAGCUUAUGGGCAAGAUGACUGGAAUGGGACCAGGCCGUCGCUGAAGGCCCCUCCAGCUAGGCCAGUGAAGGGAGCAUACAGAGAGCACCCAUAUGGACGUUAUUAAAAUCAAACAUGAGGGGAAAAUAUCAGUUAUGAGCAAAGUUGUUACUGAUUUCUUGUAUCUCCCAGGAUUCCUGUUGCUUUACCCACAACAGACAAGUGAUUGAAAACUUCUGAGAUAUUUCCUAAAGCAGAAUGGGUAAUGAAGACCCAUGUCAGCCAUCAGAGGACUCUGGAAACCAGGAGAACUACCUGCUGUGUCAAGGCUGGCCUGAGGGCAUUUGCUGAGCACAGAGAAACCCAGGAGAGGAGCUCCACAAUCUUUUCCCACCCUACCUCUUGAUCUGUCAGAUUUACCCACAGAAAGCCAGCCAGAAUCCCCUAAGAGUCUCUAGGCCCAGAAUGGAAUCCUCAGGGCUUCAGGAGACUUUGGUACUAACAGAUAACCUGUCAGGACUUCUCAAAAGUUGAAGGAAAUUAACAAUAUCCCCACCACAAUCUCCUAGAUAUGAAUAAACUGGCAACCCCUACUGUGCCAUUUCCAGUGUGACUGCUACCCUUAGCCUCCAACAGAAUUGGCUAGAACACCUUGCUGCCACCACCUGUUUCCCACCCUGUCACACCUGUGCUGUGGAUGCCAGCCUGGGCACCCUUGCAUCCUCCAGACAGCUCCCAAAGAGAGGCUGGUCACCACCUCUGUAGCAGGCUGAGGAAAGCCAGGUGGAAGGUGUCAUUUACUCUGGGAGGGUUAGUUAACCCUUGAGCCUGUUUGUCCUUCUGUGUUGAUUACUGACAUCGGAAAGCUUUGGGAAGGUAAGGCUUUUCUGCACUGCCCUUGUACCUUCCUCAGCCCGUACCUGACAGUGAGGCGCUCAAGAAAGGUCUGGCCAGGUGACGCCUAGUCCCACUCUGCUGACGGCUGUGGGCUGUGCAGCGCCAGCCCUGUCUGGGACUCCCUCGGCGGCGUGGGACGUUCUCUGCCGGGAUGGGGAUGUCAGCCUUUGAUAAAUUUCUGGCUGCUAUGACCUGUGUUCUAGGCUGAUUUUACAGGGAGCAGAAUUCUAGAGAAGUCAAGAAUCUAAUAUCACACGCUUCCUUUAGUGCCUUCUGUUUAUCCUAACGAGGGGAGCAAUGGGAUGGGAGCGCGUUGGGGAGAGAAUCCAGCUGCAUUUUCACCGUGCCCAAUGUGUUCUGAUGAGCUUGGAGUCAUUCCUAGCAGGAACUCAGAUGGAAUUCAAAUGCAAUCAAUUGAUUUACUUUGGGCAAGUUAUUUAACCUCUUGAGCCUGUUUUUAUCUUCAUAUUGAUUACUAUGAAUAAUAGUUAAUUUAUUUGAGUGCUUAGUAUGUACCAGGCACUAUGUCAAGCAUUUAUAUGCAUUAUUUCACUUACUCUGGUCUCAUUUUACAGAUAAGGAAAUGAGGCUCCAGGGGCAUAAAUCACUUGUCUAAGUUAAAAAAGGUGCUGUCAUACUUAAUAGCCCAGUCUACCUCUUAGAGCCACAUGUACUUAGAAGUAGUGAAGCAUGUCUAUGUGAGAGAUUCAUCUAGAUUGAUAGACCAUCCAGGUUCACCCAGAACUGAGAAAGUUCUAGGAUGUGGAACCUUCAGCUGGGUUUACCAGGGAAGUUCCAGGUAAAUCCAGCAGGUCCAGUUUGUUACUCUUUGCAUUGAGAAACUGCAACCAGGACUGGCCACAGACUGCCUAGGAGUUCACAGGGCUAAAGCAAAAAUAGACCUAGGAUCAAUUCUUACUUCAUUUGCUGUGUAUUUUCCUGGGCCUGUUUACAAAUACAGAAAAAUGUCUCUCCACAUAAUGGGAUCUGAGAAACACAUGAAAUGUCUGAAAUACCAACCACAGGGUCUACACAUAACUACUCAACACUUAGAUUUCCUUCAUCUUGUUGCCUUGUGUUUCAUACCAUUGUGUCACCUGCCACAUCUGUCACAUACAGCCUCUCAUUACCACUUGCAGCCCUAGAGUUCUUCUAAGAGCCCUGACUUAGUGGGCUUAGCCCACCACCCAGCUGCCCUGUAUAUCAGUCAUCUCGACAGAAAGCAGAGAAAGAAUGACAUCAGCCUUCCUACCAUCCAAAGCCUCUGGACUGUUUUGAGCCAUAAAUAUUUUAGCUGGGUCUUUCUCUAGCUGUUGCCUGGGUGAUGGUCUCUCAAGGGACUGAGGUGGGAGUGUGGGGGCAGGGCUGGCAGCCUGGAGCCUAGCUGCAGAGCUGGCCCCAGAGGCAGAUUUGAAGCCUGGCCAAGAGCCGGUGCUUGCUGCAGCAGUUUGAAGGCUAUUGCUUUGUCUGUCUUCUCUUCCCUAGGCCUUUCAGCCUCCUGCUUCCAAGACCAGCUCAGCCCUUGACUGCUACUUGAUAACUGGGUAAAUUGCUAGAUGUCCCUGUGCUUUUCACUCUAAAAUCUGCAACAGAAAAAUCACUACUCACAGGGCCUCCCUGUUGGUGCAGAGUUUAAGUCUCAGCACUGUGAAGCUAUCUGCAGCACAAGAUCAAUCAAUCCCUGGCCAGGGAGCUGACCCACGUGGCACAGCAGGCCUCCCGUCUGGCCCUCUGCUCCCCUCAGCACUGUGUUUCAGUCAAUCUGCCUGUUCUGUUCUCUGGUUGAAUCCUCUCACCACCCUGCACCUCUGGCCUACAGCUCAGCUCUUGUAUGCAAAAAUAAAUCUUUAAAGAAAAAUCACUAGACUCAGUGUAGUUAAGUGGGGAAAAAAGAGGUAAAGGAGAGGUAAAAAUCAAGUCAUGAUUGGAGAAGCUAGGCCUCAUAGCCCUUUCUGGUAGAUGUAAAUUAGACAGUCUUAAAACAGUGUUGAUGCUGCUCCAAAGACUGUCAGAUGUGGCACUGCCUCCCUGUCUUCCUCAGUUUCUGUCCGUAGUUCCUUUUCCUAAGGUUUCUAGGAGCAGCUGGACUUUUCUGACCUGGCCCCAGGUACUCUAAGGAGUUGCACCCAGUCAUGUUGAUGGAAUCAUUUUUUGCUAAUGGUAUAAAAAUAAGCCCCCAAACUAGAUCUGACUCAUAGCCUCUAUGCUCUCCUCUCCAGUAGACUCCCCUCCCCAGGGGUACCUGUAUUCAUGCCCCACACACCUACUAUUGAGAAACUCUACAAUGGAUCAGAAUUGCCCAUCCCCUGCCCAGUCUUGCCCUUAAUCCUCUAGGGCUGGAGCAGUGAAUUCCUUUGUGUGGGGCUCCCUCUGGUGGUUGGUAUGUGCACUGCAGGAUAAUAUGUGAGGCUGAAUUGCAGGCUACCUUGAUGGGGGGGGGGUGGUUUGCUCUAUUCCAGGGUGAAUCUGUCCCCAGCUCCAAAUAACAUUUCAUUUCUUAUGUAGGAUAUUUCUGCCUUCUGCUUUUCUCUGUCAUUAAUCCUCAUAAUUCAGUGAUACAAGGAUAGUCCUAAUUAUAAAAUGAAGCAGGUUUAAAGAGGUGAAAUGAAAUCCAAACUUUUUCCUGUUUAUAGCAUUCAAGAUCUUCAAGUGAUAAUGAGCUUUCCACCUUCAAAAAUUGUCCUCAAGUCAAAAUGGACUUGCUCUUCUGGGAUAUAGCAUACCUCUGGACCUUACGUUAUAUCCAAAUGUAUUAUCUACCAAAAUUCUAUUCAUUUUUAAAAAGCUGAAGAAAUGCAGUAUUUCUAAAACUUGCACAUACUGUGUUUAUAAUAACAAAUGCUGUGAGGUAUGGGGAGACUAAUGACACAUGGGAGUGAGACUGGCCCAGGAGAUAACAAGAACAUGAAGGCACCUGGUUCUCUUUUAGUACAAAUUAGAUGUAAGUAUUUCUGCUGGCAGAGGAAAGUGAGAGCAACUCCCAGAGAAGCUAGAACAGAGGUGCAGGUAAGAUUUCAAAGAUUUAUUUAUUCAUGCAUACAAAUCUUACAUUUCUUUCUACUUCAUAAUAUAUCCAUGUUUUAAUAGUAGCCAAUACUUAAAUAGCACCUAUUGUGCACGAGUGAAGGCCCAGGGACAUUUAGCAAUUUAUCCAAUAUCAAGUAGCAGUCAAGGGCUGAGCUGGACUUGGAAGCAGGAGGCUAAUGGGCCUAGGGAAGGGAAGACAGAGCAACAGCCUUCAAACUGCUGCAGCAAGUACAUAGAAUAACAACUUUACCAUAAUCUCAUAAGACAGGCACUAAUACUAACAUCACUUUACACUGAGAAAACAAGCACAGAAAGGUUAAGUCACUUCCUAAAGUCAUUUGAUUCCAUGUGAAUCUGGUUCAGAGAAGGCUCUGGAUAAUUACCCUUUAAUAUUGAAAAUACUGCCUUAUAUUUCCAUGAAUAAGACCAACAUUCCAGAAAACAGUAUUGUAUUUUAACCCGUGGUUUCAAUACCUCCACGCAAUACCAGGGAUUUGCAUACUCAACUUGAAAAUUAGCGAUCUGGAGGGCUGUCCUAGUCCCAGAAUAACAUGAACAAAAGGAGAUCCCAACUCAUGACACAUAACUGGCAUAAAGCCAGUGGCAUUUCCUCAAAAACUCAGACUUACGGAAAAUCCAAUAGAGAGUAAGCUAGCCAGGACAUGAACAUGUAGAAGAGGGAUGUGAGGCCUUCCAGGUCACAAAACAACUGAGAUUUGUGGUCACAUCUGGAGGACAAGAACCUAACAUCCUGACGUCUUUUAUUACUUUCCCCAGGGAGUCUAGGAGAAGUGAAGGGGUUGAGACCCUAGAUGUUUCUGUGAGAUACAGGGAUAGAAUUGAAUAUUCAUCCUGAGAUCAGUUUGCAAUGUCUGACUGAAUAUACUAACAAAAUCCAUAAUGGCCACAGGUGUGGAUCCAGAAUUUCAGAUGAUGCCAUUGAAUGUCACUGGAUUACUUGACUUUUCUAUGCUUCAUUGUCAAGUUCUUUCAAAGAAGUGACACAACUCCAAGUUUCUAACCUACUUAGCAGUCCCCGAGGUCAUGGUGGUGGCGGAAGGGGUGGGGGAAUCACUUCCCAAUAUUUGCAGAAAAGAUCAUAAUAUUAAUCCCAUUUGGCGGGACUUGGGUCAUGAGUCAUUAACAUGCUGCCCUUCCUCCUCCCUCCAUCCCACCCCUGCCCCCACCUUCCAGUCACUGUAACCUGAGGGGGUAGAGAUGGAAUGGUUAGAUUCACCAAGGCAGUCUUACUGCAGAGUAAGGCAGUUCCACCAAACCACAUGUACUCUGAGAAUGAGCAAGCAAGCUCCUCAAUGGAAAACCACAGCGUUCUUACCAAAAGAAAGGAAUGAAUGCUGGGCAGAAAAAUCAAUAGUUCACCUGUACAGGUGGUUAGGAGCUACAGGCAAUUCACGGCAUGUAUAGCGGUCCAUUUGUGUGGCCUUACCCAUUUAUACUAAAUUGUAUGAAAGCCCUCAAAUCAGUUCAUCGAACAUUUCGUGAGUAGUUGCCAUGCACAAGGCCCAGGGCCUUCAACAUCAUAGAUGCACAGCAGGACAUUCCUCUGCCUUCAGGCCCAGUGAGGCAAUUAACAGACUCAAGCUAUUACUUCCUCCCAUAGGACUAUAACGGAGUUCCUAUCCCUCACAGAAAACAGCUUUGCUGUCAUGUACCAUGAAAUCUCCCAUUAAGAGUCACCUUCCAUUCAUUCACCUGAACUUGCAUGCAUGUUACAUAUUGGACUGUCAAGAAAAGUCAUGACAUAUUUUUUCUGUUUUUUAAGCAAAAAGUGCAUCAUGACUUUUCCAACAACCCAAUAGUAUAGUAGCACUGUAGGUACACCGUGCCAAUAUUCUCUCUGUCCACCUAGUAAUGAGUGGCAUUACUGUAUCUCAAGUACCCAAGGAUAUAGUCGAUGCUCAAAAUGCUUGUUUGUGGGCCUCCCUGGUGGCACAGAGGCUAAAGUCAGCACUGUCAAACUAUCCCCAACCACUGUGGCAUGAGUUCAAUCCCAGGCCAGGAGCUAACACACAUGGCACAACAGACCUCUCCUGUCUUGCCUACUGCUCCCCUCAGCAGUGUAUUUCAGUAGAUCCAGCUAAUCUGCUCCCCACUCUGUCUCAGGUGAAGACUUGGACCCCUUGCAUCUCUGGCCUAGACCCCAGUUCUUAUAUGCAUAAAUAAAUCUUUUUGUAAAAAAUGCUUUUGACAACAGUUUCUAUGAAUGGCCGAGCCUCAGUAGUACAUGGACUAUUCCUGAAAUCAUUUCAUCAGCCAAUUUGCCACUACCUGAGUUCAAUUCAACUAAUAUUCAUUGAAUGUUUCUCGUAUGCCAGGUAGUGUUAGGCUUUGAGGAUUCAGAAACAAGAUGCAUUUCAAAUAUAGCACUCUCUAAAGAGGCCAGAAGCAGUUCUUUUACCAAAAUUUGUUUGGUCAAAACACAGACUCAGCCCUGGUUUCUUUUUUUUUUUUUUUUUUUUUAAAGACAUUUUAUUUUUACAAGAGCUGGGAUAUAGGCCAGAGUUGCAGGGGGUGAGAGGAUUCACCGGAGACAGAGUGGGGAACAGAACAGGCAGACUGACCGAAGUACACUGCUAAGGGGAGCAGCCAGUGAGACAGGACAGGUCUGCUGUACCAUAUGGGUUUCUCCCUGGCCUGGCCAGCCACAAAUCAAACCCAUGCUGCAGAGGCUGUGUUUUGCUUCAUAGUGGGGUGCUUAACCCCUUGAACCACCAGGGAGGCCCUCAGCCCUGGUCUCUACAUUGUGGCCUGCUCAUUCUCCCUCAGAAGGGAAGAACUGACUUGGUAUAAAAUCUAUAAUUUCCAUUUGGCGAGGCUGAAAACUUUAGAGUAAUCCUUUAAAAAAAAUGAUUUAUUUAUGCAUAGCAGAACUGGGGUACAGGCCAGAGGUGCAGGAGGUGAGAGGAUUCACCAUAGGCAGAAUGGGAAACAGAACAGGCAGCCUGACUGAAAUACACUGCUGAGGGGAGCAGCCAGCAAGAGAUCUGCUGGGCCAUGUGGGUUGCUCCCAGGCCUGCCAGCGAUCAACUCAUGCUGCAGAGGCUGUGGAUAGCUUCAUAGUGCUGUGCUUAACCCCUCAUGCUAACAAAGAGGCCCUUUAGAGUAAUCCUUGAUAUUUCUUUCACACAUCUGUAUAAUCUGUCAACAAAUUCUGUUGACUUUAUCUUCAAAUCCAGGAUUCAACUGUGACUCAUCAAUGUUGUCACUUAAUCUGAUACAAAUCAUUGACCUCUCUUACUAUGAUCAUUGCCAUGGCCUUCUGUCUGGUCUCCCUGCUUCCACCUUUGUGUCCACACAAUCUGUUUUCACACAGCAGCUGGAGUAAGUCUAAAAAAUGAAAGUUCAGAUCCUCUAAUAAGUCCCCACCUCAUUCAGAAUAAAAGCCACCUGGCACUACAGGAGCCGCCAUCUCUUCUCAUGUCCAACUGUCAUGUCUACCCCAUCCCAGCCACAGUGGCUUCCCCGCUGUUUCUUAAAUACAUAGAGCACACUGGCUACCUGAUGGCCUCUCCUACCACUGACCCUUCCUUCUGCCUGGAAUGCCCCUUUUCUCCAGAUAUCUGACUCACUCAUUUCCUUCAAGUGUUUUCUCAAAAGUCAGCCUCACAGUGAAGCCUGUUCUGACUGCCCUGUUUACAAUUGAAACCUCCCAUCCGCCUUUCCUGUUUUUCCUCGACAACAACCAUCCUCAUCUAACACACUAUGGAAUUUACUUGUUUUAUUUAUAUCUGUCUCCCCUCAUUAACUGAAUACCUUUUAAGGAAAUAUCUACAGAUUCAAUUAACAUUCAUGUAGACUAUGUGCUAAGCACUGUGCUAAGAGAUGGACUUUCUGUUUAUGUCUUAUGAAGGUAGAAAUCAUAAUAACAAUUAGGAGCAGUAGCUCAUGUAUUGAGUGCUUCCUCUGUGUUAGUGUUUGCCAAAUAUCGUAAUAAAAAUGGCUAACAUUGAUCCAGACUCUUCUACAUGCAUUAUCUCAUUCAAUCCUCUCCAAGGCCAAAGUGGUAGCUAUUGCCAGCCUCAUUGUAAACAGCUGGUAAGAAACAAGAUUGCAAAGCUCGAAAUGGGCAGUCACGAUUUGG